rnacentral:SRP_RNA from 1 species
GCCGGGCAUGGUGGCUCAUGCCUGUAAUCCCAUCACUUUGGGAGGCUGAGGUGGGUGGAUCACUUGAGGACAGGAGUUCGAGACCAGCCUGGCCAACAUGGUGAAACCCCAUCUCUA